CCUACGGGCGGCUGCAGUGGGGAAUAUUGCACAAUGGGCGCAAGCCUGAUGCAGCCAUGCCGCGUGUGUGAAGAAGGCCUUCGGGUUGUAAAGCACUUUCAGCGGGGAGGAAGGCGUUAAGGUUAAUAACCUUGUCGAUUGACGUUACCCGCAGAAGAAGCACCGGCUAACUCCGUGCCAGCAGCCGCGGUAAUACGGAGGGUGCAAGCGUUAAUCGGAAUUACUGGGCGUAAAGCGCACGCAGGCGGUCUGUCAAGUCGGAUGUGAAAUCCCCGGGCUCAAUCUGGGAACUGCAUUCGAAACUGGCAGGCUAGAGUCUUGUAGAGGGGGUAGAAUUCCAGGUGUAGCGGUGAAAUGCGUAGAGAUCUGGAGGAAUACCGGUGGCGAAGGCGGCCCCCUGGACAAAGACUGACGCUCAGGUGCGAAAGCGUGGGGAGCAAACAGGAUUAGAUACCCGAGUAGUC
rnacentral:rRNA from 1 species